rnacentral:rRNA from 1 species
GACAGAGGAUGCAAGCGUUAUCCGGAAUGAUUGGGCGUAAAGCGUCUGUAGGUGGCUUUUUAAGUCCGCCGUCAAAUCCAGGCUCAACCCUGGACAGGCGGUGGAAACUACCAAGCUCGAGUCCGGGAGAGGUGAGUGGAACUGCGAGUGUAGAGGUGAAAUUCGUAGAUAUUCGCAAGAACACCAGUGGCGAAGGCGGCUCACUGGCCCGGUACUGACGCUGAGGUGCGAAAGCGUGGGGGAGCAAACAGG